rnacentral:rRNA from 1 species
UGGCGGACGGGUGAGUAACGCGUGGGGAACCUGCCCUGUACCGGGGGAUAGCAGCCGGAAACGGCUGAUAAUACCGCAUAAGCGCACGAAUGUCGCAUGACAUGGUGUGAAAAACUCCGGUGGUAUAGGAUGGACCCGCGUCUGAUUAGCCGGUUGGUGGGGUAAAAGCCUACCAAAGCGAAGAUCAGUAGCCGAGUUGAGAGACUGACCGGCCACAUUGGGACUGAGACACGGCCCAGACUCCUACGGGAGGCAGCAGGG